rnacentral:rRNA from 1 species
UACGGAGGGGGCUAGCGUUGUUCGGAAUUACUGGGCGUAAAGCGCGCGUAGGCGGACCUGCAAGUCGGGGGUGAAAGCCCGAGGCUCAACCUCGGAACUGCCUUCGAUACUGCGGGUCUCGAGUCCGGGAGAGGUGAGUGGAAUUCCUAGUGUAGAGGUGAAAUUCGUAGAUAUUAGGAAGAACACCAGUGGCGGAAGGCGGCUCACUGGCCCGGUACUGACGCUGAGGCACGGAAAGCGUGGGGAGCAAACAGG